GAAUAUUGGGCAAUGGACGAGAGUCUGACCCAGCCAUGCCGCGUGCAGGAUGACUGCCCUACGGGUUGUAAACUGCUUUUAUAUGGGAAGAAACCCCUGAUUCCUAUCAGGGCUGACGGUACCAUACGAAUAAGGAACGGCUAACCCCGUGCCAGCAGCCGCGGUAAUACGGAGGAUCCAAGCGUUGUCCGGAUUUAUUGGGUUUAAAGGGUGCGUAGGCGGGAUAAUAAGUCAGUGGUGAAAGCCUACAGCUUAACUGUAGAAUUGCCAUUGAAACUGUUAUUCUUGAGUUCGGUUGAGGUGGAUGGAAUAUAUCAUGUAGCGGUGAAAUGCUUAGAUAUGAUAUAGAACACCGAUUGCGAAGGCAGUCCACUAAGCCGUUACUGACGCUGAGGCACGAAAGCAUGGGUAUCGAACAGG
rnacentral:rRNA from 1 species